GGCCGAAUAGGUGAAUAAAUACUUACGGACGGCCUUGGUCUGUCCUAGAGGUUAUCAACAUAUGAACUCUUAGAGAAAUUACUUAAUAAACGAAGUGAAUUGAAAUAUCUUAUUAACUUCAGGAAAAGAAAUCAAACGAGAUUCUAUGAUUAGUGUGAACGAAAAUAGAGCAGCCUAUUAAAAUAAGUAAAAUGGCUUUAAAGCUGUUUGAAUAUUGUGGGGAACCUUCCUCAAAGGCUAAAUAUAAUACAUGAGUUACAGAGAAAAGUACCGUGAGGGAAAGCUUUGAAAUAGUAGUUUUAUAAGCAGCUCAAGCAAUAAGAAAGCGAGAGCGUACCUUUUGCAUAAUGGGUCACCAAGUUAAUUUUAGAUGCGAGCGAAUUUAUUUAUGUUUUUACUGAUUAAACAAUAUAAUGAAUCAUAAUUAUUUUUGUAACGAGUAUUAGUAUUAAAUCUUAAUUUAAUAUUAGUAUAAGUUUUCAGUAUGGCGGCUACAUAGCAUAAUCUAUGCAGCCAGCCAAUAAUUGGAUUUCCAAUCCAAUUUCGGUAAUAAAUAGAUGUGCAUAGUUAAACCGAUCAUUAAAAUAAUGAAUAGUGUCUAAAGUUAGACCCGAAGCCUGGUGAUCUUACUAUAGUCAGGACUAUAAAGGUCCGAACGGGUUAUCGUUGCAAAGAUAUCCGAAGAACUAUGGUAAGCGAGUGAAAGACAACACUGACUAGGAUAGCUGGUUUUCUGCGAAACCUAUAAUAGUAGGCAAUUUAAGUAACAUCUUAGUAGGUACAGAACUUAAUCUCAGACAAGAUGUAGAUUUUCAUACCUAUGUUUAGGUAUGAAAUGCAUUUUUUUUUGUAUACAUCGGGGGAUCGUGAAGAUUUUAUCGGUGAGUAUGUAGACUCGGAAUGACAAAGAUGAAUCUUGAAUAAUCAGACAUAGAAUGAUAAGGUUGUAUGUCAAAAGGGAAACAGCCCAGAACAAGAGUUAAGGUUCCAAAAUUAUUAUUAAGUGAAAUAAAGAAAGUUUUUAUAUAAGUCGACAAGAAGAUGGGCUUGGAAGCAGCCAUAAUUUAAAGAUCUCGUAACAGAGCACUUGUUAAAUCUUAAAAGCAUCGAAAAUUUAACGGAUCUAAAUAAUAUACCGAAACCUUGUCCAUAUGUAACAUUAGUAAUAAUAUGCUAUUAAUGUUAUUUGAUGGGGUAGCAGAACGUUGAGUGAAUCUUAGAUUUUUUUUUUAUAACUAAAUAUAGAUGAUAACUCAAGUGAGAAUGGUGACAUGAGUAACAAAAAAGAGUUUAAGGUACCUAAAAGGUAUCUUAGAGUCUCGCCUAAAGCUUAUGGCUACGUCAAGUAACGGCCUCUAAGUUUAUAAUCUGAAGAUUAUGACGAUGAGAAAAUAACGCGCAGAAGUGCGCUGCUUUGAUACUUAUGGUACCAACAUUUAAAAGUGAAAAUUGUGCAGGAAGGAUCAGUAUCCUUUCAUUCUUAUGUGGGGGAGUGGACAAAACUGAACAGAGUGUAUCUGAACACAGAUGAGUCCACACCCCCCCCCAUGUAAUGAAUGAAUGACAAACCGUACCUAGAAUCUGAAACAAGUAAGCUAGUAGAGAAUACGAAGGCGUGAAUGAGAUAACAAUCAUAAAGGAACUCGGCAAACUAACUACCGUAACUUAGGGAUAAGGAGAGCUCAUUAGUCUCGAUUAAUACGAGUAAAAAGGAAGAAGCAUGGAAUAUUGUUGUACGACUGUUUAAUUAAAACAAAGCACUUUGCAAAAAGACGAUAAGUCUAAGUAUUGAGUGUGAUUUCUGCCCGAUGCCGGCUGGUUAACGAAUUUUCUAAAUUGAAAAAAAAUUUGGUUUCAGAGGAACCCCCGGUUAAUGGCGGCCUUAGCGUGAGGGUCCUAAGGUAGCGAAAUGCCUUGGCCGUUAAAUGCGGUCUUGCAUGAAUGAUGUAACGAUACAACAGCUGUCUCUAUGAUUGACUCAGUGAAAUUGGAAUAACUGUGCAGAUACAGUUUACCUCUAGUUAGACGAGAAGACCCUAUGCAGCUUUACUGUUACUAAUUAUUGAAUACGAUUCUGAAAAUUUCCAGUGUAAAAGGUAAUCGAUAAGAUAUAAUUGAAACACCUUUAUUUUUCUAUCGUAUUAUUAAACCUUAAAUUAAGGAACAAUUGUUAGAAGACAGUUUAUGCGGGGCACAGGCCCCAUAAAGAGUAAAUGGGUGUGUCUAAAAUUUAUAAAUUUAUGUUUGCAAUUUUUUAUAGUGAUUAUAUAUCAAAUCAUCUUUAUGCUAUUCAUAGAGUGUAUUUAUUAUAUUCCUUGGGUACAGUAUAAAAAUUAUAUAUGUAUUAAUUUACAUAUAUUUUUUCUAAGAAAUUAGGUAAGAUUUUGUUUAUAGAGAAAUUAGAUGUAAAAAAAAAAUCUUAUGAGGGCGGUAUUUAAUAAUCCGCUUCUAAUAUUUUUUUGUAGUUAUUAUUAUAAAUUUAAUAAUAAUCAUGUUUAUUACUUAAAAAGCUUAAUGGCUUAAUCUUGCCUUACUGUUUGAUUAACAACAAAUCUUACAGUCGCGUAAGCGGGGCAUAGGAUCACAAGAUACAAAAAGGAAAGAUCUUGGAUUUUUGGAAAAGCUACGCUAGGGAUGUUUGUCCUUCAAUAUUCUAUUUAAGGGUGCUCCAAAUGAGGCCUAAGGUGAAGCCUCAGCAAGCUCCACCCUUCGCAAUGUAGCCUUAAUAAUUUAGUGCUCCUGCAGUCCUUUUUUUUCCCCCGCAAGCUUGCGGGUAGCCUCCGGCUAAGCGAAGCUCGGCCCU
rnacentral:rRNA from 1 species